ensembl:lncRNA
AUCAGAAAGGCUGGAAGGACAAGCAUAAUUCCUAUAUGGGGGAGCAGAGCUGUGUGUGACGUAAGACAUGGAGAAAUGUGGAUCUCGACAAUUAAUCAUGGUGUACUGCUGACAAAUAAGUGACAGUAAUUGAUGCAGCCCUUUUAGAGGCAAUCUGAAACUACUGCAACCUGGGUAAGUUCAUUCAUUUCUUUUUCUUUGCCAAGUUACUGGUGAAUAACAGUCCUAUGUAAUUGCCGCCCAGCAUUGCUUUAUAAGGUAACAGUGUCAGUGACAAGCCAGGAACUAAGACAAUCUAACAGUAUCUCUCUGGCUAAUUCUUGCCUGUGUUCUAUUUCUUCAAACCAUUGAUGUUUCCUAUUCAGUAUAUUGGCCACCAAAGGACUGAUGCACAGGCAUAGGAUGUGUAUUUGAAUAUCUAAAUGUGUUCCGUUGGGGUUUUCUGCUUGUCAGAUUUGCAUAGGUAUCUAGAUAAACAAUCUUGCCAGUCUAAUAGUCAAAAUAUUUUAAUUAUUUAUAUUCAUCUUACGCUCUUAGGCUGUAGUAUCAGGAUUUCCAAGAUGUCCAGCAGAUUCCAGCAGUAAAAUGUAUGCACUCUUACUAGAUCUAACUUUUGCACUCUAUGCUUUCUUUUAGGUGAACUUGUCCGAUUCAAAGACCGAAGCCAGCAGGUCUGAUGGCUGUAAGAAAAUGUCUAGCUGUUUUAAUAGGCAGUAAGCCAGACCAGUGCAACAUAUAUUCAAACCACUGUCUGCUGCUCAGGUCCUCUUUGCAGAGCAUUCCUUUUUUGUCCGCAGGGAGAGAAAUCAAGGCUUGCCCUGGAUUACUAGAACAAAGAGAUGUUUCUGCUGAAUUUUCUCUCUGGAAGAUGAACUUCUGUUCAACAGCCCAUCCUUCAGUAGAACAGAUACUGCUCUAUGGAGGUGAAAAACGGAUAAAUUUUGCAGAUUCUCUCAUCAGGAGGAGGAUUCUCAGUGUCUUUCAGGAGCUUUCGGCACAUAAGAGGGAAGAGAUCCCAUCCAGGUGCAUGAUAAAGACUCAAGUAUUCAGUUAUGCUGGAAGAAGGCUGAAGAUGACAUACCAGAAGCUAUGCAAGAGAGAUGAUACACAUUAUUUUAAUUUUAUGAGGCUGUAG